UACGUAGGGUGCAAGCGUUAAUCGGAAUUACUGGGCGUAAAGCGUGCGCAGGCGGCUUUGCAAGACAGAUGUGAAAUCCCCGGGCUCAACCUGGGAACUGCAUUUGUGACUGCAAGGCUGGAGUACGGCAGAGGGGGAUGGAAUUCCGCGUGUAGCAGUGAAAUGCGUAGAUAUGCGGAGGAACACCGAUGGCGAAGGCAGUCCCCUGGGCCUGUACUGACGCUCAUGCACGAAAGCGUGGGGAGCAAACAGG
rnacentral:rRNA from 1 species